CACUCUAGAGAGACUGCCAGGGAUAACCUGGAGGAAGGUGGGGAUGACGUCAAAUCAUCAUGCCCCUUAUGCUUAGGGCUACACACGUGCUACAAUGGGUAGUACAGAGGGUUGCCAAGCCGUAAGGCGGAGCUAAUCCCUUAAAGCUACUCUCAGUUCGGAUUGUAUGCUGAAACUCGCCUACAUGAAGCUGGAGUUACUAGUAAUCGCAGAUCAGAAUGCUGCGGGGAAAGCGUUCCCGGGUCUUGUACACACCGCCCGUCACCCCACGGGAGUUGGAGACGCCCGCAGCCGACUAUCUAACCUUUUGGAAGAAGUCGUCGAAGGUGGAAUCAAUAACUGGGGUGAAGUCGUA
rnacentral:rRNA from 1 species